CUCCGUUGAUGUAGAUGGAUGAGUUGAGUUGGCCAGUGGCAAUCUUCUCAGAGGCCAUCUACCUUCCAUCCUCAGUACCCGUUGGUUGAUCCCAUCUCAAGAUUGAAGUACAAGAAUUCUGAAUUGAAACUUUGUCUCAGUGACAUUUUUCCUGCAAAGGCUGACCAAUGGUGGAGGGGAGGGCCACCUGAACUCUGUGAGUUGCUGCUUCAUGUAGAGAGGUUAAUACCAUAUGUCCUCUCCCUGAAUCCCACCACGAUCCAAUGAGGUUGUUAGGAGAGCUUCCACUUUACCCUUAAGGAAUAGAGACCCAGAGAGAGGAAGGAAUUUAGACUUGGCAGCAGCAUGCUAGGGAUCAAUGCUAGAUUUGGUGCAAAGCCUAAGAGUUUUCCAGGUUACUUAACUUCACCAAGAUGAGAUCGAAUUGUCAGGCUGAUCUGGAGCAACUCAGAGUGGGCUUAAAACUCUUUAAAGCAGUGAUGUUUCUGUAAAAAACUGCACUGUGCUCCCAUCCUACAACUGAAAGGACAGGUCAUUGCCAAAAAAGUUAGGAAGCCAAUGAUUUCAGAAUAAAAGGCCUUCCCUGCCCA
rnacentral:lncRNA from 1 species